GAUGAAGAACGCAGCGAAAUGCGAUAAGUAAUGUGAAUUGCAGAAUUCAGUGAAUCAUCGAAUCUUUGAACGCACCUUGCACCCUUUGGUAUUCCGAAGGGUAUGCUCGUUUGAGUGUCAUUGUACUCUCACACUUCUAAUUCCUUUCGGGAUUGGGAGCGGUGGACUUGGGUGUUGCUGCUUUAGUUGUGGCUCACCUCAAAUAAGUUAGUGCAACUCUUGGUUGGACAUAGUACGGCGUGAUAAGUGUCUUCGCCGGCGCCUCUGUAAGGAGGGUGGCCGAUCGGGAGCUCUGUGCUUCAAACCGUCUUCGGACAAUCUUUGACAACUUGACUUCAAAUCGAGUAGGACUACCCGCUGAACUUAAGCAUAUCAAUAAGCGGAGGA
rnacentral:misc_RNA from 1 species